CCUACGGGAGGCAGCAGUGAGGAAUAUUGGACAAUGGGCGCAAGCCUGAUCCAGCCAUGCCGCGUGCAGGAAGAAGCAUCUAUGGUGUGUAAACUGCUUUUGUACAGGAAGAAACACUCCCUCGUGAGGGAGCUUGACGGUACUGUAAGAAUAAGGACCGGCUAACUCCGUGCCAGCAGCCGCGGUAAUACGGAGGGUCCGAGCGUUAUCCGGAAUCAUUGGGUUUAAAGGGUCCGUAGGCGGUUUAAUAAGUCAGUGGUGAAAUCUGGUCGCUCAACGAUCAAACGGCCAUUGAUACUGUUAGACUUGAAUUAUAAGGAAGUAACUAGAAUAUGUAGUGUAGCGGUGAAAUGCUUAGAUAUUACAUGGAAUACCAAUUGCGAAGGCAGGUUACUACUUAUGGAUUGACGCUGAUGGACGAAAGCGUGGGGAGCGAACAGGAUUAGAUACCCUGGUAGUCCACGCCGUAAACGAUGGAUACUAGCUGUUCGGAGCAAUCUGAGUGGCUAAGCGAAAGUGAUAAGUAUCCACCUGGGGAGUACGUUCGCAAGAAUGAAACUCAAAGGAAUUGACGGCGNGAGAGAGACGAGACGACGACGAGGGAGGAGG
rnacentral:rRNA from 1 species